CAAAAGGCGAUAACUUGGUUUUUAUUUCUUUAUGAGAGUGGGACAGAGAUAUAGACUUAGCACAGCCCAGGAUAUGGGCAUGCAAAGACCACGAGCAAAGUGUAAGGAAUUGAACUUGGGACCUUGCGCUUUCAAGGCAGGUGUUGGAACCACUGAGCUAAAUCUCCGGCCCAUGUUGACUCAGGUGCUGUCGUGGAUGCUGUUGUGUUGCCUGAAUCUCCAUUCCAGACCAAGAUGCUCACUGCCUGGAGGCCAUGAGUACAGCCUGCAGACCAGUCAGAGAUGAGCUUCUCCAGGAGUCAUCCUGCCUUUCCUGCCUCACCCAAGAACAAGGACAUGUGCACCAGAGAAUUAUCAACCAUUUGACAAUAUCUGCUGACUGGCUCUUGGCCCUAGAAGACAUGGAGCACCUGCCAUUGGAUAUGAAGUCACCAUGUGGCCAGAACUUCCUACAAUGAGCUAGAUUCUUCCUGACUCAUUGACUUAUAAGCUGGAAAUAUUGUAGCUCGGAUGGGGCACAUGAAAAUCCAGAUAAAACAAGAAGCCACACAAGCAGGUGUCACCUUCCACUAUCAAAACCCUG
rnacentral:lncRNA from 1 species